rnacentral:lncRNA from 1 species
CGGAGUCAUUCCAGGAUGAAAUGUGCCUUUCUAUGUCUACUUCUAUCUUUCUAGGAAGAAUUUUAAAAUGAAGCAUGGUGGUUGGGGAUCCAUGGGAUGGAAUAUUGGAGAGGUCAACAUCUUCAGAUGAAGCUGGUACUAAGUCAAAGGUUUAGUCCUUUAUACAUGCAAAGCACUUGGCCUCUUCAUAUUUUAAAGUUCUGCAUCCCUUAUACUCUGUAAAGUUUAUUUUCUAAAUAAAGUAUACUCCUACCCCUACCACAUUCCCCGUCUCACUCCACUGUUGCAAUGUUAAGAGAAGCUCUGUUCCGCCUUUGUGUUAUCUCUUCAUCUUGUUUGUUUUUGUUUUUAUAGAGGAGUGCAACUCACAAAUCCUUUCUACAGUAUCUGGACUACAGAUGUUGGAACAGAACUGGCUAUGGCUUUCAUCAUUGUGGCAGGUAUCUGCCUCUGCCUCUACUUCCUGUUUCUGUGUUUCAUGGUAUUUCAAGUAUUCAGAAACAUCAGUGGGAAACAGUCUAGCCUCCCAGCCAUGAGCAAAGUCCGGAGGCUGCACUAUGAGGGUCUGAUUUUCAGGUUCAAGUUCCUCAUGCUGAUCACCUUGGCUUGUGCUGCCAUGACUGUUAUCUUCUUCAUUGUUA